GACGAACGCUGGCGGCGUGCUUAACACAUGCAAGUCGAACGAUGAAGCGCCAGCUUGCUGGUGGGGACUAGUGGCGAACGGGUGAGUAACACGUGAGUAACCUGCCCGCUACUCUGGGAUAAGCCUGGGAAACUGGGUCUAAUACUGGAUAUGACCACUCACUGCAUGGUGUGUUGGUGGAAAGAUGUUUUGGUGGGGGAUGGACUCGCGGCCUAUCAGCUUGUUGGUGGGGUAGUGGCCUACCACGGCGACGACUGGUAGCCGGCCUGGGAGGGCGACCGGCCACAAUGGGACUGAGACACGGACCAGACUCGUACGGGAGGCAGCAGUGGGAAAUAUUGCACAGUGGGCGAAAGUCUGAUGCAGCGGCGCCGGGUGAGGGAUGACGGCUUUCGGGGUGUAAACCUCUUUCACCAGGGACGAAGGUAGCGUGACGGUACCUGGAGAAGAAGCACCGGCUAACUACGUG
rnacentral:rRNA from 1 species